rnacentral:rRNA from 1 species
UACGUAGGGCGCAAGCGUUGUCCGGAAUUAUUGGGCGUAAAGAGCGCGUAGGCGGUUUGUCGCGUCUGCUGUGAAAACCUAAGGCUCAACCUUGGGCUUGCAGUGGGUACGGGCAGACUAGAGUGCGGUAGGGGUGACUGGAAUUCCUGGUGUAGCGGUGGAAUGCGCAGAUAUCAGGAGGAACACCGAUGGCGAAGGCAGGUCACUGGGCCGCAACUGACGCUGAGGAGCGAAAGCAUGGGGAGCGAACAGG